ACGCUGGCGGCGUGCCUAAUACAUGCAAGUCGAACGAGUUCUCGUUGAUGAUCGGUGCUUGCACCGAGAUUCAACAUGGAACGAGUGGCGGACGGGUGAGUAACACGUGGGUAACCUGCCCUUAAGUGGGGGAUAACAUUUGGAAACAGAUGCUAAUACCGCAUAGAUCCAAGAACCGCAUGGUUCUUGGCUGAAAGAUGGCGUAAGCUAUCGCUUUUGGAUGGACCCGCGGCGUAUUAGCUAGUUGGUGAGGUAAUGGCUCACCAAGGCGAUGAUACGUAGCCGAACUGAGAGGUUGAUCGGCCACAUUGGGACUGAGACACGGCCCAAACUCCUACGGGAGGCAGCAGUAGGGAAUCUUCCACAAUGGACGCAAGUCUGAUGGAGCAACGCCGCGUGAGUGAAGAAGGCUUUCGGGUCGUAAAACUCUGUUGUUGGAGAAGAAUGGUCGGCAGAGUAACUGUUGUCGGCGUGACGGUAUCCAACCAGAAAGCCACGGCUAACUACGUGCCAGCAGCCGCGGUAAUACGUAGGUGGCAAGCGUUAUCCGGAUUUAUUGGGCGUAAAGCGAGCGCAGGCGGUUUUUUAAGUCUGAUGUGAAAGCCCUCGGCUUAACCGAGGAAGCGCAUCGGAAACUGGGAAACUUGAGUGCAGAAGAGGACAGUGGAACUCCAUGUGUAGCGGUGAAAUGCGUAGAUAUAUGGAAGAACACCAGUGGCGAAGGCGGCUGUCUGGUCUGUAACUGACGCUGAGGCUCGAAAGCAUGGGUAGCGAACAGGAUUAGAUACCCUGGUAGUCCAUGCCGUAAACGAUGAAUGCUAGGUGUUGGAGGGUUUCCGCCCUUCAGUGCCGCAGCUAACGCAUUAAGCAUUCCGCCUGGGGAGUACGACCGCAAGGUUGAAACUCAAAGGAAUUGACGGGGGCCCGCACAAGCGGUGGAGCAUGUGGUUUAAUUCGAAGCAACGCGAAGAACCUUACCAGGUCUUGACAUCUUUUGAUCACCUGAGAGAUCAGGUUUCCCCUUCGGGGGCAAAAUGACAGGUGGUGCAUGGUUGUCGUCAGCUCGUGUCGUGAGAUGUUGGGUUAAGUCCCGCAACGAGCGCAACCCUUAUGACUAGUUGCCAGCAUUUAGUUGGGCACUCUAGUAAGACUGCCGGUGACAAACCGGAGGAAGGUGGGGAUGACGUCAAAUCAUCAUGCCCCUUAUGACCUGGGCUACACACGUGCUACAAUGGAUGGUACAACGAGUUGCGAGACCGCGAGGUCAAGCUAAUCUCUUAAAGCCAUUCUCAGUUCGGACUGUAGGCUGCAACUCGCCUACACGAAGUCGGAAUCGCUAGUAAUCGCGGAUCAGCACGCCGCGGUGAAUACGUUCCCGGGCCUUGUACACACCGCCCGUCACACCAUGAGAGUUUGUAACACCCGAAGCCGGUGGCGUAACCCUUUUAGGGAGCGAGCCGUCUAAGGUGGGACAAAUGAUUAGGGUGAAGUCG
rnacentral:rRNA from 2 species